GACGAACGCUGGCGGCGUGCCUAAUACAUGCAAGUUGAGCGCUGAAGGUUGGUACUUGUACCAACUGGAUGAGCAGCGAACGGGUGAGUAACGCGUGGGGAAUCUGCCUUUGAGCGGGGGACAACAUUUGGAAACGAAUGCUAAUACCGCAUAAAAACUUUAAACACAAGUUUUAAGUUUGAAAGAUGCAAUUGCAUCACUCAAAGAUGAUCCCGCGUUUUAUUAGCUAGUUGGUGAGGUAAAGGCUCACCAAGGCGAUGAUACAUAGCCGACCUGAGAGGGUGGUCGGCCCACUUGGGACUGAGACACGGCCCAAACUCCUACGGGAGGCAGCAGUAGGGAAUCUUCGGCAAUGGACGAAAGUCUGACCGAGCAACGCCGCGUGAGUGAAGAAGGGUUUCGGAUCGUAAAACUCUGUUGGUAGAGAAGAACGUUGGUGAGAGUGGAAAGCUCAUCAAGUGACGGUAACUACCCAGAAAGGGACGGCUAACUACGUG
rnacentral:rRNA from 1 species